GACGAACGCUGGCGGCGUGCUUAACACAUGCAAGUCGAACGGAAAGGCCCUGCUUUUGUGGGGUGCUCGAGUGGCGAACGGGUGAGUAACACGUGAGUAAAAUGCCCUUGACUUUGGGAUAAAUUCAGGAAACUGGGGCUAAUACCGGAUAGGAGCUCCUGCUGCAUGGUGGGGGUUGGAAAGUUUCGGCGGUUGGGGCUGGACUCGCGGCUUAUCAGCUUGUUGGUGAGGUAGUGGCUUACCAAGGCUUUGACGGGUAGCCGGCCUGAGAGGGUGACCGGCCACAUUGGGACUGAGAUACGGCCCAGACUCCUACGUGAGGCAGCAGUGGGGAAUAUUGCACAAUGGGCGGAAGCCUGAUGCAGCAACGCCGCGUGCGUGAUGACGGCCUUCGGGUUGUAAACCGCUUUCGCCUGUGACGAAGCGUGAGUGACGGUAAUGGGUAAAGAAGCACCGGCUAACUACGUG
rnacentral:rRNA from 1 species